AACGAACGCUGGCGGCAGGCCUAACACAUGCAAGUCGAGCGGACCCUUCGUGGUUAGCGGCGGACGGGUGAGUAACGCGUGGGAACGUGCCCUUUGCUUCGGAAUAGCCCUGGGAAACUGGGAGUAAUACCGGAUACGCCCUUUUGGGGAAAGAUUUAUCGGCGAAGGAUCGGCGCGCGUUGGAUUAGGUAGUUGGUGGGGUAAUGGCCUACCAAGCCGACGAUCCUUAGCUGGUUUGUGAGGAUGAUCAGCCACACUGGGACUGAGACACGGCCCAGACUCCUACGGGAGGCAGCAGUGGGGAAUCUUAGACAAGGGGGGCAACCCUGAUCAAGCCAUGCCGCGUGAGCGAUGAAGGCCUUAGGGUUGUAAAGCUCUUUCACCGGGGAAGAUAAUGACGGUACCCGGAGAAGAAGCCCCGGCUAACUCCGUG
rnacentral:rRNA from 1 species